ACUGCGGGCGUGACUGCUACGCCAUCCGCGUCGCCACUGCCCUCACGCUGAUGACCGGGCUUUACCAGGCCUUCUGUCCUAGGUGGGGUGGGGCAUGGCCUCCCCACCCCUGAAGGUCUCCUGCCUUGUGCUGUCCACCUUGGCCGGUCCACCUUGGCCCCCGUUGGCUCCACAUCUGUAUGGGGGGUAGUGGGGGAAGCCAUGCGUAGAAAGCAGGAGGAAGGGGCUGCCUUCUGAUGCCAGAGAUCUUAAUUCUGAAAUAAAACGGGCUGCUGCACGUGA
rnacentral:sRNA from 1 species